AUCCUCCUGGUUUUACUCUAACAUAUGCACAGACACAACCUGAGAUAAACCCACAGAGACCAUCUAUUACGACCAGGCCUCAACAAAUUCAGGCCAGAGCUUCGAUACUAAUGAAUUUCCAAGCUUGCUCAGGCUCUAACCCUGCUAAUAACUCGAAUAAUCCACUUGUUCCUAAUUUGGAUAAAGUUGCGGAAGAGGAAAAGGCAAGGAUAGAAUCACAAAAGUAAUUAGAGGAACGGUGCAAAUGACUGGAGGAAAAAUUCAGAGCAAUGAAAAGCGCUGAUAGUCAUCAUGGAAUUGACGCUAAGGAUCUGAGUUUGGUCCUAGACUUAGUCCUUCCCUCCAAGUUCAAAAUGCCAGAAUUUGAGAAAUACAAUGGAACGAGUUGCCCUGAAGCUCAUAUUACCAUGUUUUCCAGAAGAAUGACUAGGUAUGUUAACAACGAUCAACUACUGAUUCAUUGCUUCCAAGAUAGUUUAGUGGGGGCAGCAUCUAAGUGGUACAAUUAGCUGAGUUGUACGAGGAUUAGUUCAUGGAAAGAUUUGGCGCAAGCGUUUAUGAAGCAGUACAGCCAUGUGACGGAUAUGACUCCUGACAGGAUUACUUUGUAGAAUAUAGAGAAGAAACCAAAUGAAAGUUUCAGACAAUAUGCACAAAGAUGGAGAGAAGUUGCCAUACAAGUUUAGCCGCCGCUUUUAGAAAAAGAAACUACGAUGUUCUUUAUCAACACUCUAAAGGCCCUGUUCAUUACACACAUGCUGGAAAGCGCCAUAAAAAGCUUCUCAGACGUGGUAAUGACUGGAGAAAUGAUUGAGAAUGCAAUAAAAAGUGGAAGGAUAAAGGCAGGAGAGAAUACCAAAAGGCCAACCCCACAGAAAAAGAAAAACGAGGUGAACAAUAUGAACAUGGGGUACUCAAAAUCGUUUACCGUUAAUCAGCCGAAAGCAGUGACUAUUGGGAGUCAAGGUUCGUUAAGACAAGAAUCUGGCACAAAGUAAAAUACUAAGAAGUUUCAAUUUACGCCUAUCCCAAUGUCAUAUAGGGAGUUGUAUCAAAGUUUAUUCGAUACACAUGUGGUGGCUCCUUUUUACUUAAAGCCAUUACAACUCCCAGACCCCAAAUGGUACGACGCAAACGCUCAAUGUGAUUACCAUGCAGGAAUUUCAGGACAUUCAAUAGAAAACUACACUACCUUUAAGAAAAUAGUUGAAAGACUUAUUAAAGUGGACAUUGUGAAGUUUGAUAAUGCACCCAGUGCAGAAAAUCUGUUACCUAAUCACACUGAUGGUAGGGUAAACGCGAUAAGUGAAAAUAUGGGGAGAAAGAUCAAGGCAGACAUUACAGAAGUAAAAAAUCCUUUGAAAUGGGUUUGGAAGGAGAUGACAGAAGGAGGAUUAGUUAUUCUGGAUCCAGAAAAGUGUGGCAAAAAGAUAGAGAACUACUACGAAUUCCAUCAUGAAGAGGGGCACAUAAUUCAAAAAUGUGAAGAGUUCAGAGCUUUGAUUCAGGGCCUGAUGGACAACAAGGAGAUAGAAUUUAUGAAGAGACUAAAUAGGAGGGGUGCAUAUGCACGUCAGAAUCAAUGAAGGGCUCAAAAGUCAAUUAUCCUAUGGUCAUCAUUACACGUCCGAAAAAUGAAGUGAGAAUUCAAAUGGCACCGAAGGUUAUAAUUUAGUAACCAGCAGCUUUUUCUUACGAGGACAACAAAAGGGUCUCUUGGAAUUAUGAUUGUAAUGUGACAAUCUCGGGGAAGGAGAGUUCAGCUAAGGAAGACCAAGAUAUAGGUUCUCACACACGUAGUGGAAAACGCUAUGAUUUGGUAAAUGCCCGAACAGAACCUGUAAAAGAAAAAGCUCCUAUAGCUGAACAAAAGAAAGGAAAAGCUGUUGAGUCUGAGUUACCUGUUAAUGAACUAGUGAAAGAGGAGGAAGCUAGGGAAUUCGUGAAAUUUAUAAAACAAUAGUGAGUAUAGCGUGGUGGAACAGUUGCAUAAACAACCAGCUCGCAUAUCUAUACUAGCUUUACUCCUAAGUUUAGAGGUACACCGAAGUGCAUUGAUGAAAGUGCUAAAUGAGAUGUACAUGACUAAUGAUAUCUUUGUCAAUAAGUUGGAUUAGCUGGUUGAUAACAUAAGUGCUGAUAAUUUCAUAUUCUUCAACGAUGACGAAAUACCAUAAGGAGGUAUGGUGUCCACUAAAGCUCUGCAUAUCACUACCAGAUGCAAAGGAUACACAUUACCGGGAGUCUUGAUAGACAAUGGGUUGGUAUUGAAUGUAUUGCCAUUGUCUACUUUAAAUAGAUUACCUGUGGAUAGCUCGCACAUGAAGGGGUGUCAGAAUAUAGUGCGGGUAUUCGAUGGCAUAGAAAGAAGAAUCAUGGGGAGAAUAGAAAUACCUUUGUUGAUUGGCCCAACUACAUAUGAGGUGGACUUUUUAGUGAUGGAUAUUAAACCCUCAUACAACUGCCUGUUAGGAAGACCUUGAAUACAUUCAACAGCGACAGUGUCUUCAUCGUUGCAUCAGAAGUUCAAGUUAAUAUCAGAGGAUCGGCUGAUAACGAUAAAUGUUGAAGAGGAUAUCAUUGCAGCUGUAAGCAGCGAUGCACCAUAUUUGGAGAUAAAUGAUGAAGCAAUCGAAUGUUUUUUUCGGUCCUUGGAGUUUUUAAAUGCAACGUUCAUCACUGAAGGAAGCAUGAUUCCAGCACCGAAAAUAUCCAAAACUACGAGGAUGGGUCUACAGUUGAUGGUAGGAAAAGGAGCUUUACCCGAAAAGGGACUUGGAAGACAUCUCCAGGGAAGAAUUGAAGUUCGAUGCUGAAAGACAAAUAUAACCAUUUUGGUUUAGGAUUCAAGCUAGAUGCAAGACAAAGGAAGAAAGAAUCAGAAAAAAGGCAGGAGAGAAGAAAGGCAUGAUUGAAUGGUGAAAAUAUCAAGUGGGAACCCAUGGUAAUCCCUCACAUAUCGAAGACUUUUUAAAUUAAGAUUUUUUUUUUAUUUUUUUCUUAUUUUAUUUGAAGUAAAUUUUAAAAACAUAAAGUAAAUUUUAAACAUAAUUUAAAAAAUUGUAUGUAAAAUUAAUAAAAUAUUAAACAUACAUUUCAAAUAUUAUAAAACUAAUAAUUUCAAAACUAAUUUGAAAAAUAUAUAUUUAAAAUUUAUAAAAAACAUAAUUUCACAAAUAUAUAUCUAAAGUUAAAAAAUAAUUUUAAAAAUAAUAAUUAAAAUUUAAAAAAAUUGUAAAACAUUUUAAAAAUACAUUAAAAAUUUUUUAAAAUUAAUAAUAUAAAUUAAAUAAACAAAAUAAAAUAAGAAAAUAAUAUAAAACUUAAAAAAUAAAAAAAAUUAAGAAAAAGACAAAAUUAAAUAAAAAAGUAAAAAAAAAAAAUAAGGAUGGCAGAAAGUGGUGGCGUCAUUUGAAAUGGCUCCACCAGAAAUGAAAAAUUAUUAUUAAGGUCCCCCAACUUUUCAAAAAUAAAAAAAAAGUUAAAAAAUUUAAAAAGAAAUUAAAGAAAUUGUAUUUACAAAUUUUAAAAGUUUAAAUGAUUUUAUAUUAUUAAAACUAUGGUUAAUAUUUAAAAAUUAAUAUUUAAAAUUUUCAAAAAUUAAUUUGAAAAAUAUAUUUUUAAAAUAUAUAAAAAAUUAAUUUCACAAAUAUAUAUCUAAAGUUAAAAAAAUAUUUUUAAAAAUAAUAAUUAAAAUUUUUAAAAAAUAUUAUAAAACAUUUUAAAUAUACAUUACAAAUUUUUUAAAGUUAAUAAUAAAAAAUAAAAAAAAAUAAACAAAAUGAAAUAAGAAAAAAAAUCAAAAAAGUAAAAAAAAUAAAAAGACAAUUUAUUAAGGAACAAAAUAAAAAAGUAAAAUAAAAGAAAUAUGAAAAUAAAAGAAAAAAAAGAAAUAUGAAAAUAAAAGAAAAAGAGAAUGUGUAGGCAAAAAAGUGGUGGUGCCAUUUAGAAUGGCUCCACUCGAAAAUGGUAAUAUUUUUUUUAAGUUUUCCGUUUUUUUAAAACUUUAAGUAUUUCCCUGGCAUUUUAUACUGGUGGCGCCAUUCAACAUGGCUCCACCAAAAAAUAAUUUUUUAACGUCCCUUGCUGACGUGGCACUGUGGUGGCGCCACAUCAUAUGGCUCCACCACUUUUUACUGUAGAAAACGGGUUAUUUUUGUAUUUAAUUAAAAAGGUGAGUUAUUUUGAUAAUUAAUUUAUUUUUUUGGGUUAAUUUAAUAAAAAAGCCCAAAAAAGGGUGAUGCAAUAAUUAUUGCUGGGAAGGUUUGACAGUUGUCCAAGUGAAAAGCCAAUCAAAAGUUAACAGUAAAAUUAACUUUAACGAUAAACUAAAGAUAUAUUUGAUUUUGGUUGAUGUUUAUUAUCACAGUUUGAAAAUAGUCAUAUCUGAGUAUAUUUGCCUCUUGGGAUGCGAGGGUUGGUUGUUCACCAUGCUGGUAUAUCUAAUUUGUUUUUCUCUGCUUUUUGUUUGGCCAUGUCUAUUUUUAGUUUCUUUGAUUUUUUAGCAAGACUUUGUAUCUCGUUUUUCGAUUAAUGGAUUUAUAUUCAAACAAAAAAUUAGACUAAACAUUAAAUUUUAUCGAAUUUUGCCAUCAAAUUGAUAUUUUUAAUUGAAACUUACUCGUGAAUGUUGAUUUUGAUAAUUUGAAAACAAGUAAUAUUUUAUUUCAAAUAUUUUAUUAUGAUAAGUAAUAAUAAAUUAAUUUACAAUAUAUUAAAAAUUAGUAUGUUAACGUAUACUUUUUAUUUAAUUAAAUAAAUAUGUGAAAAUUUUUAAUAUAUAACUUUUAUUAUAGGAAUUCUAUCAAAUUAGUCUCUUUUUCUAUUACAUGUAUUAAUUUAGCUUCUGUGCUAUUAAAAAAAAAUUAAACAAGGCUAAAUUGGAAUAGAAUUAACAUUUGCUAUUUCAUUUACUGCUUAACAUAGUUAAUAUUUUUAAAGUUUUUAUGGUUCUGUAAAUGAAUUCUUUUCUUUAGAAUUGAAUUGCAAUUGAAAAAAAUAAUUACAUUUUUAUAUAGAAAAUAUUAACUUUGUUAUAAUUUAGACUUAUUUUAAUUUUUUUUAAUAGUAUAGGGACUAAGACUAAUUUGAUCUGAUCCCUAUAAUACAGAGACCUCCAACGUACUUAAACCAAUAUAAAUCUAACUUUUUCUAAAAAUAUAAUGACAAAUUUUCACAUUAACAAAAAAUAAACAUGUUCAGAUUAAUAAUAUAUAUCAUUUAAACUCUCUAAAACCAAUAGUCCUCCCUCCUCUCAAUGUAGAAGAAAUCCUAACAUUUUUUAAAUUUUAUCCCCAAUCACGCGAUCAACUAGCCUUCAUGCCAACAAUUGCACCCUUGCUCUCCCCUUUUUCUCUUUCUUUUUUCUUCUGUCAACUUCUUCUAUGUUGGCCGCUUUUUUCUUUUUGUUAUUUGUUAUUUUGCUUUUUUUUUUUUACUUUUCUCGUUUCUUGAUGUAACCGUGCAUUAUCGUUGGCUUUUUUUUGUUGUUGAGGCAAGCCCUUCGACUCUCCUUUUCUAAGGAGUGGUUCUUCUAGAGCGUGAUGUGUUGAAUUGUAAAUAAUAACUAAUAUAAAAUUAGAACUGUAAACCAGAAUCUAUCAUGUCAAAUAAUUAAGAAUAAAUCAAGAACAAAACUAGAUGCGAAAGCGCACCUGGAUUCAUUGAUUUCUUGAAAUCUACGGAUCUUGGGGUUUUGAUCUUCUAAAUUAGCACACAAAUAAUCUAGAGAAGAUGGCUCUCUCUUUUCUAAAGAUGUGAUGUGUAAUUUGGGGACCAUAACCCUAUAUAUAUAACUUUGGCACAUUAGCCCUAAUUUCUAAUCAGCCCAUCAUCAACUAGAAAUUAGUUACUAGAGUAUCUACACAUAUUUGACCCAUACUUUAUUUAAUAAUUAAAGCCUAAUAAACCAUAACCAAAUUAGAUCAAUUUUAAUUUGGGCUAACCUAUUAUGAUAUAAAUAAUUACAUGUAAUUACUCUUAUUAUAUAUGUGAUAUCCAUAGUUUCCAACAAUCUCCCACUUGGACCACAUAUAUAUACUAAUUACUCUAUAAUUACAUGUUAUUAUAUAGCCUUAUGAGCUCAAAAUUUUACUAUCAUAUCCAACAAGUAUUUCAAACAAUCUCGUCCAUUAAUAAUGUAAACAUAGAAUCAAGACGACUUUUGUUAUUUGUAUCGUAACUAAAUCCAUCCCUGAUCACGUAUAUUAACACAACCAAAUGACAUAGAUCAAGUAUGGAUGUGUAGCAUGGAAAUUACAUGCAAUAUCAUCUAAACAUAUCUAUUUCCAACUAGUCCUCCUUAAACCUUAGUGAGAUCAAACUUUACCAAAGCCAAAGUGUGAAUAAACCAAAUAAACUUUAUUUAUGCAUUAAAUAAACUUAAUAUCUAUAAACUGAAUUGAAAAUGUGUUUAUUAACAUAAAAGCAUUUAAAAGUACAAACUCCCAUUUAAACCAAAUAUUCUUAAAUGAUAUUACACCCAUAUGAGCAAUGUGCUCAUGAAAAACCUUGGGUGUAGUCCCUUAGUAAGCGGAUCCACAAUUAUGGAGUUUGUCCCAAUAUGCUUUAUUGACACCUAACACUUUGAACUUUUACUUUAACUGUUGGAAAUUAUAGAUUACAAAUUAAUUAUUCAUGAGCACUAUUCAAAUUAAAAGUGAUGAUUUAUAAUCUUACAAAUUUAAUUAUUCACAAGCACUAUUCAAAUUAAAAGUGAUGAUUUAUCUUCCAAUGGAUACAUUUCCAUAAGACAUGUUUCUCUUAAAAAGUAUGUCCAAUAGGAAGAGUUGUUGCUUUUCAAAUUGUAUUCAUUUAGUGCAUAUAAAUAAAGGCAUUAUGGUGCUCACAAAAUAUACAAUUACAAUCAAUCUUAUUUUCAGAAACUAGAGUAAGAGUUAGGUAAUUCCUUGGUUUUGCUAAUCAAAGGAAAUUCAAAACUUCAUUGUAUCUUCGGAGGUCCUUUGUCUUAACCCUUUAGCAACUUUGUGUCAGGGAAAAUAAUUCUCUUUUGAAAGCGUCAUCUGCUCCUCGAAGUGUACUGUUUAUUUCUAUAUAAGUCUCUGAUUCUAUCGUUUCCACUAAAAUAUCCAACAUUAACGACCAAGAACUUUAAGUCAAUGGGCUUUGACUUUGAUGUGCUCCUGUUGUUAUUUGAAUAAAUGAUUACCAAUUAUCAUCUAUCGUCUAAAUUUGCACCCUAGUGACAAAAUUUUGCAUCAAUAUUUCUUCAAAAUCGGAGUCUGUAUACUUGAUAAUCUCUAACUUAUUAUACCUCUGAUAUGUGAGCAUGUAAUCUUUUUUUCUCUGAAGAUACCUCAUAAUCUUCUUGUUUGCUUUGCUAAAAUAUCUGCCUAACAUCCCAACAAUGUGCACAAUGUCCGGAUGCGUACAUACUUGAGCAUACAUUAGACUCUAACUCUUGAGACGUAUGGAAUCUUAUGCAUUUCCUUAAUCUCAAAAUAAUUCUUGGGGUAUUGGUCGAGACUUAACUUAUUAUUGACAAGUAGUAUGUCAUUAACAUAUAAAACCAAAUAUAGAACCUUACUCCCACUAAACUUGUGGUAUAUACAAUUAUCGACCAAAUUCAUCUCUAAACUGAAUGAGAUAAUCAUUUGGUAAAGUUUGUAAUACUAUUGACGAGUAGUCUGCUUAAGCCCAUAGAUGAAGUUCUUUAAUUUGCAAAUCAUUAACUUUGUAUCAUUAGACAUAAAUUUUUCUAGUUGCACUAUAUAAAUGUAUGAUCAAUGUUACCAUUGGAAAGCCAUUAACUUAAUAUUCAUCUGACGCAACUUAAGGUCAAAAUAUUCCACUAAAGUCAUUAUAAUCAUGUCUCUAGAGAACCUUUUUUAAUAACAUCCAUUGAUCAUACAUUAACUUAAUAUUCAUCUGAUGCAGCUUAAUGUCAAAAUAUUCCACUAAAGCUGUAACAGCCCGAUUUAGGGCCUAGUCAGAAUAGUGGUCUCGGGACCACAAAUUCAAUGUCAAGAAAAUUAUUUUAUUAUUAUUUUGAUGUAUUAGCAUGUUUUUAAGAGUAUGUGAAAAUUUUGGUGAGUCAAUUUUAGCGUUGGAAGCCUAAUUGAGAAAAAGGAAUAGAUCGCAUAAAGUGCAAAAGUCUUAAAUUGAUAGCUAAGGGUGUUAAAUUGCCAUGAAACCUAAAUUGAGGGUUUUUAAAGGGCAAAUAGACCUUAGGAAGGAUGCUAUCCGGCCAUGGGGGACAUAAGAAAGAGAAAUGGUUAAAAUUAGGUGGGUUGGUGACCAAUUUUGAUUAAAAUAAAAAUAAAAUAAGGAGAAAAAGAUAUCAUCUUUUCCUCUUCUCCUUCAUCAUCGAAAAAUGCAACCAUUAUAGGGUUUUUGAGCAUCAAAAUUUUCAGCCACUUAGUCUCUCUACAAGUAAGUGAUUUUAAUGAGUUUUCUUGAUGAUUUUACAUUUUUGAGACCCUUGUGUCAUGAGCUUUCUAAUGAGGGUACUAUUUUGCAAAAUUAUAAAGAGUCUAGGGUUUUUAUGUAAAGGGAUUUAUGAUGUUUGCUGAAUUUUUCUGGAAGAAAAUGAGUCUUGGGUGUCUUAUAAACAACUUUUGUGAAAUGUGUUAGCAUGAAAACACGUAAAAGGACUAUAUUGCAUUAGUUGUAAAAUAGAUGUCAAGUAUGUGAAAUAGUGGGAAUUUGGAGUUGCUAUAAGGGUAAAAAGGGUUUGUCUAAGAUUAAGAUAUGAAGAAAUUUGAUAAAAAUUGAUUUUCAGACCUAGGGGUAAAAUGGUCAUUUUGCAAAAGUCUAAGGGCAAAAUGGUCAUUUUGCCCAAAUAUAGGUUAUUGAAUACCUAGAUCGAUAAAACGAUUAAAUUUGUAAAUUUUUGUUAUUAUAGAUCAAGAAAUACCAAAUUCGAACCUAAACCGGGGGAAAGACAAGCAAAUCUACUAAAUCGACUAGUUGCCACUUUUUGUAAUCCGAGGUAAGUUGUAUGUAAAUAAUACAAUUACAUCACUAAUAUAUAUGUGUUGAAUUUUAUUUGAAUUAAUAUAGCAUGAAUUGCUCGAUUUUGAAAUUGAAAAAGUAUGAUGAUAAUAGAGAUAGUAGAGUUCUCGUUCAAACCUAGAAAAUAUAUCGGAUAUUCAUGCCAUGACAAAUGGGUUAUUGUGGGCUAGUGUAAGACAUGUCUGGGACAUGCAUCAACCACAUUAUGAGAGCCAGUGUAAGACCAUGUCUUGGACAUGACAUCGGCAUCGAGACGAGUGCUAGUGUAAGACAUGUCUGGGACAUGCAUUGGCCUCAAGACGUAAGCUAGUGUGAGACAUGUUUGGGACAUGCAUCAGUUACGAGAUGAUGGUCAGUGUAAGACCAUGUUUGGGACAUGGCAUCGGCAUGAGAUAUGAGCUAGCAUAAGACUGUGUCUGGGACAUGGCACCGGCACUUUACUUAUGUUUGAGGCUUAAUAAAUAUACGGUAGUGUUCUGAAUGGUUCAAUGGUGAGUAUUAUGACUUUAAGUUAAUGAGCAUGGUAUAACCAUGUUGUGAGUGGUACAGGUACCUAUUUGAAAUGUAUGAGAUAUAAGCUCGAUAUAUGCUAUGAGAUUUACAUGGAUAGUGAUGAGUAAGUUAUGCUUGCGCCUACUUUUAUGUUAUGAGCAUGUUAAUGAAUGGUAAAAUUGUUGUUGUAUAUUUAUUUAUAUGCAACUUACUAAGCUUUAUGCUUACUCCCCCUCCUUUCCUUUUUCUUAUAGUGCCGCCUAUUUAGCUUAAGGAUCAACAGAAGUCAGAGAUAUCGAUCACACUAUCAAUCGAAACAUUCGGUAUAGUUUGAUUUAUAUUUUUGAAUAUGGCAUGUAUAGGGAACUAGACUUAUGUUUUUUGUUAAUAUUAACUUGGCCAAAUGUGUUGGCUUGAGAUAAAUCCCUCAUUUUUUAUUAAGCCUCAAAUGAUGGCUAAUGUUCAUUUUGAUUUGUAUGGAAUGAAGUUAUUUUCAUGGUUGAGUAAAAUGCGUAAAUGAAAUGUUGUCUAUUGUGGAUGAUUUGGUUGCUCGAGAUAGUUUUAUAUUGGAUUUGGUGGUUAUUAUAUAGGUCGUGUAAGUAAGAGUGGAAAAGAAGCUUGGUAAAUAGCCUUAUAUUGUCCACACGGGUAAACACACGGGCGUGUGUCUAGGUUGUGUGUGACACACGGCUAGCCCCAUGGGUGUGUUGUCCAGCCGUGUGUCCCUUGAACGUAAACAUUUCUAAUCAGUAUGCAUGAUAGUAAACAAACGGGCAGAGAUACGACUGUGUGUCUUUUGGGGAACACGGCCUAGCACACGUGCGUGUGCCUUGGCCGUGUGACAUUUUGGGUUUGCUGAUGUCAUAAAUAGAAUGUCCAUGUUUUUGCACAUGGGAUAGGACACGGGCAUGUCGUGGCUGUGUGAAGGACACGGGCCAGGGACAUUGGCGUGUGCUAGGCCGUGUGAAAACCCCUAUAAGUGUGCAUUUAGAAUUAAUUCCAUAUAGGUGAAGGACACGGGCGUGUCCUUAUUUUGCAUAAGCCGUGUGAGACACACAGGCCAUCAGCACGACCAGGUCGAAAUGGUCACACGAGUGUGUUGCCCUUCCACACGAGCGUGUACCCCUAGGUCAAGUGUCAAUUUUCUAUAGUUGGCUUAAGGGCCCGAGUUGAUCCCGGAUAAUUUUUUAUAGUCGAUUUGGGGAUCGUAGGCCCAUGAAAAUAAGGUUAAAGUAGAAAUUGAUAAAAAGUUUUAAAUUGAGCAGAGUUUUGGUGACUCAAAAUUUUUUGUUAGCAUGAGUUUAAAGUUAGGUAAUACCUCGUAUUCGGUCCCGGCGAAGGGUUUAGGCGUGGGGUGUUACAUUUAGUGGUAUCAAAGCUAUGGCUUAGUCAGUUCUAGGACUAACCUAGCGAGAGUACAGGUCUAGCUAUACAUGCCAUAACUGUAUGUUGAUAGUGUGACGACUUCUGAUGAUUAUAAAUUGUAUUUCUAUAUAGUAAAUGGAUCCAGAUAGAGCCACGGUGGAUGACAUGGAGAGUAACGCGCCGGCUCUCACUGAGGGAACAGCUUCAGUUGAGAGUGAGCUCGUGACUAUGGGCCAAGGCGAAGGGGCUAGAGAAACCUAUCUCUGAAUGAUGGACGCUUGGUACAUGGAGUUCAUUCGCUCAAAUUCGAACACUCUACCUCAUUCACCUCUUUCGAUUCCUCAAUAUGCCCCGGUAGCUCCAUAAUACGUAGACGUGUUUAGGAGAGAGAAGCCUCCGGUAUACAAGAUCCGGAAACAAGGGGCCAAGGAAUUCUGGGCUAACAUAGAUGACGACCCGAAAAAGGUAGAGUUUUGGUUAUAGAAUACCAUCAGAGUGUUUGAUGAAAUAUCAUGCACGCUUGAGGAGUGCGUGAAGUGUGCAAUAUCGCCCUUAUAAGAUUCAGCUUACCAGUGGUGGAGCACUCUCGUGUCUGUAGUACCGAGAGAGAGAGAGAGAGAGUAACUUGGGAAUUCUUCCAGGAAGAGUUCUGAAAGAAGUAUAUUAGUCAGAGGUUUAUAGACCUAAAGAGGAAGGAAUUUUUAGAGUUAAAGCAAGGCCGUAUGACAGUAGGGGAAUAUGAACAUGAGUUUGUGAGGCUUAGCAAGUAUGCACGGGAGUGCAUAUCUACAGAAGCCACCAUGUGUAAGAGGUUUGAGGACGGUCUCAAUGAAGAUAUCCGAGUGUUUGUUGGCAUCUUAGAGCUACGGGAAUUUGUAGCACUUGUUGAAAGAGCCUGUAAGGCCGAAGAGUUGAUUAAAGAAAGGAGGAAAAUGGCUUUUGAGUUACAGGAUACAAAGAGAAGACAGAUGGGGAAGUCACAUCAAUCCUCAUAAAAAAGAUCAAGAGAGUUCACGACUCGAUCAAAUUUUUCGGUAGGGUUCUCGAAUAGAAACAAAAAUAAAUAGAACACGGCAUCUAGAGCCCAGACCGCUUCUGUAGUGAAUAUUGGUAGUGCUUGGCCAAAUAGGCCUGAAUGUUCACAAUGUGGUAGAGUGCCGAGGGAAUGAAAUGGGCUGCUUCAAGUGUGGAUCAUUAGAACAUUUCAUCCGAGAUUGUCCCGAAAUGGAAGAGAGAGAGAAACAGCAAGAAGGGAAGGCAAGUAGUACUCCUUUGAAGGGUAGAUCAUAAAAGAACCCCGGAAGUGGGACAGUGGUAGAGGCAUGCCAAGAGAUGUUGCAGUAAGGUCCGAGGGCAGAGCGCCUGCAAGAACUUACGUUAUUCGUGCCCUAGAAGAGACAGAGUCUCCCGAUGUGAUCACGAGUACUUUUUUAUCCAUAAAAUACCUAUUGUUGCUUUAAUUGACCCGGGGUCUACCCACUCUUAUAUUUGUAUGGAUUUGAUACCUCGUAUGAACAUGAUAGUAGAGUCCACUGAGUUUGUGAUAAAAGUGUCCAACCCUUUAGGCAGACAUGUGCUAGUUGAUCAAGUGUGUAGAAAUUGUCCUUUGACAAUUAUAGGUCAUUGUUUUCUGGCUAACCUGAUGUUAUUGUCGUUUAAUGAAUUCGAUGUAAUUCUUGGGAUGGAUUGGUUGACCUCUCAUAGUGUUGUAGCGGACUAUGGGAGAAAAGUUAUCAAACUAAAAUGUGAAGACGAGAAUAUCCUUCUGGUUGGACUAAAUAAAUCAGAUAAUUUUCCUGUAAUAGUAUCAUCUUUGACUGCUAAAAAAUAUUUGAGAAAAGGAUAUGAGGCUUACCUAGCUUUUGUGCUUAAUACUCAAGUAUCUGAAUUGAAGAUAGAAUCAAUACCAGUGGUUUGUGAGUUUACAGACGUGUUUCCGGAAGAAUUACCCGAAUUACCUUUAGUGAGGGAAGUUGAGUUUGGAAUCGAGUUGGUCUUCGGUACGACACCCAUCUCGAUCACUUCGUAUAGGAUGGCUCCGACGAAAUUGAAAGAAUUGAAGGUACAAUUGCAAGAGUUAACGGAUAAGGGGUUUGCAAGACUGAGUUUUUCACCGUGGGGUGCUCUAGUACUUUUUGUGAAAAAGAAACAUGGGUCAAUGAGGUUAUGUAUCAACUAUAGACAGUUUAAUAAAGUAACAGUAAAGAACAAGUAGCCCUUGCCAAGGAUCGAUGACCUGUUUGACCAGUUAAAGGGAGACACUGUAUUUUCCAAGAUUGACCUGAGGUCCGGAUACUAUCAGUUAAGAGUGAAAGAGCAAGAUGUACCGAAGACUGCAUUUCAGACGAGAUACGGCCAUUAUGAGUUCCUCGUCAUGCCCUUUGGUUUGACUAAUACCUCGACGGUAUUUAUGGAUUUGAUGAAUCGUAUAUUUUGGCCGUAUUUGGAUAAGUUCGUAGUGGUCUUUAUUGACGACAUACUGAUUUACUCACGUGAUGAGGGUGAGCACGCGGAGCAUUUGAGAACGGUUUUACAAACUUUGAGACAUAAGUAGCUUUACGCCAAGUUUAGUAAGAGUGAAUUUUGGCUUAAAGAGGUCGGAUUUCUAGGACACAUUGUGUUGGGUGACGAGAUCAGAGUUGACCCAAGCAAGAUCUCGGCUAUUGUUGAGUGGCAAUCGCUAAGGAAUGUAACUGAGGUUUGAAGCUUUUUGGGUUUGGCUGAAUAUUAUAGACGAUUUGUAAAUGGAUUCUCUAUGAUAGCUACGUCGAUGACAAGGCUACUGCAAAAAGAUGUCAAGUUUGAAUGGACAGAAAAGUGCCAGCAGAGUUUCGAGAAAUUAAAGGCUUUGUUGACCUAAGCCCCAGUGUUAGUGCAACCGGAGUUGGGCAAGGAGUUUGUGAUAUAUAGCGACGCCUCCUUGAAUGGUUUGGGGUGCGUGCUUAUGCAAGAGGGUAAGAUCAUAGCUUACACUUCGAGACAGUUAAAGACACAUGAGAAAAAUUACCCGAUGCAUGAUUUAGAGUUGGCUGCCAUCGUAUUUGCGAUAAAAAUUUGGAGACACCAUCUGUGUGGUGAGAAAUGUCGGGUGUUCACCGAUCACAAGAGCCUUAAGUACUUGAUGACUUAAAAGGAGUUGAAACUAAGGCAACGACGAUGGUUAGAGCUAAUAAAGGAUUAUGAGUUAAUUAUCGACUACCACCUGGGAAUGGCAAACGUGGUCGACGAUGCAUUGAGUAGAAAAUCAUUAUUUGCAUUGAGAGUAAUGAACGCCAAUUUGGCCUUGUCUGAAGAUGGUUCAGUUCUAGCAGAGUAGAGAGCUAGACAAAUGUUUCUGCAAGAGAUUCGGGAAGCUUAGAAUAACAACAGUGAUUGGCAAGCCAAGAGAACUCAAUGUGAGUCGGGCGUUGAGUCAGAUUUUCGUAUUGGUACUGAUGGAUGUAUAAUGUUUAAAGAUAGAGUUUGUGUACCCAAGGAUAGCGAGCUUAUUUGGAAGAUUCUACAAGAGGUUCAUAGUGGUUGUUUGUCCGUCCACCCGGGUAGCGUGAAAAUGUACAACGACCUUAAAAAAAUGUACUGGUGGUUGGGAAUGAAAAAAGACAUUUCAGAGUUUGUUUCUAAGUGUCUAGUGUGUCAGCAAGUGAAGGCUGAACACCAAGUACCUUUGGGUCUACUUCAGCCUAUCAUGGUCCCCGAGUGGAAGUGGGAUUGGAUUACUAUGAAUUUUGUGACGGGUUUGGCGGAAACCCCAAUGAAAAAGGAUGUUUGGGUAAUUGUGGAUAUGCUAACAAAGUCGGCACAUUUUAUACUAGUGCGUAUCGACUACUCCCUUGAAAGAUUAGCCGACUUAUACAUAUCCGAGAUCGUGAGGCUUCAUAAAGUGUUGUUAUCAAUUAUUUCAGAUCGGGACCUGAGAUUUACCUUGAGGUUUUGGAAAAAGUUACGAGAGGCAUUGGGAACAAAGUUGAGUUUUAGCAUGGCAUUUCACUCGCAAACCGACGGUCAGUCGAAAAGAGUGAUUCAGAUCUUAGAGGACAUGUUGCGAUGUUGUGUUCUUGAGUUUCAGGGAAGUUGGGAAAGGUACUUACCAUUGGUUGAAUUUGCCUACAACAAUAGCUAUCAGUCAAGUUUGAAGAUGGCACCUUAUGAGGCAUUAUAUGGGUAAAAGUGUCAAACGCCCUUAUAUUGGACCGAGCUCAAAGAAGGUCAGAUUCAUGGGGUCGAUGUAGUUAAGGAGACUAAAGAGAAAGUUAAAGUGAUUUGCGACUAUUUGAAGGCUGCCUCAGAUAGGCAGAAAUCCUAUGCGGAUUUGAAAUGGAAGGAGAUUGAAUUUAACCUCGUGGAGAAAAGUUCUUAGAUUUGGUAGAAGAGGCAAGUUGAGUCAUCGUUUCAUAGGACCUUAUGAGUAUAUCGAGAGAGUAGGACUGGUUGCCUAUUGUUUGGCUUUACCACCAGAAUUGAAAAAGAUUCAUGAUGUGUUUCAUGUAUCCAUGCUACACCAUAUAGAUCAGACCUUUCGCAUAUGAUUGCGCCAACCGAGGUUAAAAUUUAUCCUGACAUGACUUAUGGCGAAGAGCCGGUCAAGAUUUUGGCUCGGGAAGUCAAACAGUUAAGGAAUAAGAGUAUAGCACUCGUGAAAGUUUUAUGGCAUAGACAUGGAGUCGAGGAAGCUACAUGGGAACCCAGAGAGACUAUGAGAGAUCAGUACCCGAACUUAUUCACCGAUAAGAUUUUCGGGGACGAAAAUCUCUAAACGGGAGAAAUGUAACAGCCCAAUUUAGGGCCUAGUCAGAAUUGUGGCCUUGGGACCACAAAUUCGAUGUUAAAAAAUUAUUUUAUUAUUAUUUUGAUGUAUUACCAUGUUUUUAAGAGUACAUGAAAAUAAUUGGUGAGUCAAUUUUAGCGUUUGGAAGCCUAAUUGAGAAAAAAGACUAAAUCGCAUAAAGUGCAAAAGUCUUAAAUUGAUAGUAAAGGUGUUAAUUUGCCAUGGAACCUAAAUUGGGGGUCUUUAUAGGGCAAGUAGACCUUAUAAAAGAUGCUAGCCGGCCAUAGGGGACAUAAGAAAGAGAAAUGGUCAAAAUUAGGUUGGUUGGUGACCAAUUUUGAUUAAAAUAAAAAUAAAAUAAGGAGAAAAAGAUAUCAUCUUUUCCUCUUCUCCUUCAAUACUGAAAAAUGCAGCCAUUAGAAGGUUUUUGAGCAUCAAAAUUUUCAGCCACUUAGUCUCUCUACAAGUACGUGAUUUUAAUGAGUUUUCUUAAUGAUUUUACAUUUUUGAGACCCUUGUGUCAUAAGCUUUCUAAUGAGGGUACUAUUUUGCAAAAUGAUUAAGAGUAUAGGGUUUUUCCAUGAAAGAAUUUGUGUUGUUUGCUGAUUUUUUAUGGAAGAAAAUGAGUCUUGGGUGUCUUAUAAAUAGCUUUUGUGAAAGGUGUUAUCAUGAAACACCUAAAAGGACUAUAUUGCAUAAGUUGUAAAAUAGAUGUUAAGUACGUGAAAUAGUGAGAAUUUGAGUUUCUAUAAGAGUAAAAAUGGUUCGGCUAAGCUUAAAAUGUGAAGAAAUUCAAUAAAAAUCAAUUUUUGGACUUAGGGGUAAAAUGGUCAUUUUGUAAAAGUCUAGGGGCAAAAUGGUCAUUUUGCCCAAAUAUAGGUUAUUGAAUACCUAGAUCGAUAAAGUGAUUAAAUUUGUAAAUUAUUAUUAUAGAUUAAGAAAUACCGAAUCCGAACCUAGACUGGGGAAAGCCAAGCAAAUCAACAGAAUCGACUAGUUGCCACAUUUUGUAAUCCGAGGUAAGUUGUAUGUAAAUAAUACAACUACAUCACUAAUGUAUAUGUGUUGAAUUUUAUUUGAAUUAAUAUAGCAUGAAUUGCUCGAUUUUGAAAUUGAGAAAGUAUCAUGAUAAUAGAGAUAGUAGAGUUCCCGUUUGAACCUAGGAAAUAUAUCGGAUAUUCAUGCCAUGACAUAUGGGUUAUUGUGGGCUAGUGUAAGACAUGUCUGAGACAUGCAUCAACCACAUUAUGAGAGCUAGUGUAAGACCAUGUCUUGGACAUGGCAUCGGCAUCGAGACGAGUGCUAGUGUAAGACAUGUUUGGGACAUGCAUCGGCUAUGAGAUGAUAGUUAGUGUAAGACCAUGUCUGGGACAUGGCAUCGACAUGAGAUAUGAGCUAGUGUAAGACCGUGUCUGGGAAUGGCAUUGGCACCUUACCCACGUUUGAGGCUUAAUGAAUAUCCGGUAGUGUUUUGAAUGGUUCAACGGUGAGUUGUAUGACUUUAACUUAAUGAGCAUGGUAUAACCAUGUUGUGAGUGGUACAGGUACCUAUUUGAAAUGUAUGAGAUAUAAGCUCGAUAUAUGCUAUGAGAUUUAUAUGGAUUGUGAUGAGUAAGUUAUGCUUGCGCCUACUUUUGUGUUAUGAGCAUGUUAAUGAAUGGUAAAAUUAUUAUUGUAUAUUUAUUUAUAUGCAACUUACUAAGCUUUAUGCUUACUCCCUCUCAUUUCUUUUUUCUUAUAGUGUCGCUUAUCUAGCUCAAGGAUCAACGGAAGUCAGAGAUAUCGAUCACACUAUCAAUCGAAACAUUCGGUAUAGUUUGAUUUAUAUUUUUGAAUAUGGCAUGUAUAAGGAACUAGACUUAUGUUUUGUGUUAAUAUUAACUUGGCCAAAUGUGUUGGCUUGGGAUAAAUCCCUCAUUUUGUAUUAAGUUUCAAAUGAUGGCUAAUUUUCAUUUUGAUUUGUAUGGAAUGAAGUUAUUUUCGUGGUUGAGUAAAAUGCGUAAAUGAAAUGUUGUCUAUUGUGGAUGAUUUGGUUGCUCGAGAUAGUUUUAUAUUGGAUUUGGUCGUUAUUGUGUAGGUUGUGUAAGUAAGGGUGGCAAAGAAGCUUGGUAAAUAGCCUUAUAUUGUCCACACAGGUAAACACACGGACGUGUGUCUAGGCCAUGUGUGACACACGACCAGCCCCAUGGGCGUGUUGUCCAGCCGUGUGUCCUAUGCACGUAAAAAUUUCAAAUCAGCAUGCAUGAUAGUAAACACAUGGGCAGAGAUACGGCCGUGUAUCUCAGCCAUGUGGGGAACACGGUUUAGCAUACGGGCGUGUGCCUUGGCCGUGUGGCAUUUUGGGUUUGCUGACAUCAAAACAAAAUGUCCAUGUUUUUACACACGGGAUAGCACACAAGCAUGUCAUGGACAUGUGAAGGACACGGGCUAGGGACAUGGGCGUGUGCCAGGUCGUGUGAAAACCCCUAUAGGUGUGCGUUUAGAAUUAAUUCCACAUAGGUGAAGGACACGUGCGUGUCCUUGUUUUGCUUAGGCCGUGUGAGACACACAGGCCAUCAGCACGACCAGGUCGAAAUGGUCACACGGGCGUGUUGCCCUUCCACACGGGCGUGUGCCCCAAGGUCAAGUGUCAAUUUUCUAUAGUUGGCUUAAGGGCCCGGGUUGAUCCCAAAUAGUUUCCUAUGGUUGAUUUUGGGAUCGUAUGCCCAUGACAAUAAGCUUAAAGUAGAAAUUAAAAAAAAGUUUUAAAUUGAGCAGAGUUUUGGUGACUUAGAAUUGUUUGUUAGCAUGAGUUUAAAGUUAGGUAAUAGCUCGUAUUCCGUCCCGGCGAAGGGUUCGGGCAUGGAUGUUACAAAACCAAUUAUAAUACUUUCUCUAGUGGACUUUUUUUAAUGACAUUCAUUCAUGAGGUUGUUGAGUUUGUUUUUCUAGAAAAAUUACCUCAUCUUGAAUAGAGAGUUAUUCAACAUUAUCUUAUUGAGGUUCUGGAUUCACUUCUUGAUCAAUGAUAGGUAUGAGAACUUGAACAUUGUCAAAAGUGAUAGCAGAUACUGAGUUAGAAUUCAAUUCCUCCUCAAAAGUAAUGUCUCUAACUUUAUUUCUCCCUCCAAACUCAACAUCCUCAAAAAAUGUUGCAAUUCUUAUCUAAAAAAUAUUUUUUAUUGUGGGAUCAUAAAACUCAUAGCCCUUAGAUUGUUCAAAAUAACCAAUAAAGUAGUUGUUCACUAUUUUGGAGUUGAAUUUAUUUUCAUGUAGCCUAUAAGGCCUUGCCUCAAGUGGACAUCCCCAAAAGUGAAAGUGCUUUAGACUAGGUUUUUGACCAGUCCAAAGCUCAUAAGGUGUUUUUCCAACUACUUUAAUGGAUAUUCUAUUCAGAAUGUAAGUUGUUAUCUUUAGAGGCAUUGGACAAAUGAACACUUUCACACUUAUCAUAUUUCAACCUUUUUUCCUUUUACACACAAUAAGAAAUGAGCUCAUUUAGAGUCCAUUUCUCCUAUUGACAGAUGUAACCAAUUUUAAUUUGGUUAAACUUUGUAGGAAGCGGUACCAAAACCAUAAGAACAAUCAAUUUCUCAGAAAGCACGAUCUUAAGUCUUGAGGCAACAUGAAACAUCUUCAUAAUGUACUCCUCUAUGUUUCCAUGACCCUUAUACUUCAUAGACAUCAAAGAAUUCAGAAAUGAUGUCAUCUCAACCUUAUUGGUUUUAGCAAAAUGUUUCUCAAUUUCGUCAAGGAAACACUUGACCUUAGUAAUCUUUUUAGAUUUUGUGUCCCUAAAGGUUUCUGGAAUGUUGUGUUUCAUGAUCAUUAGACUCAUGCGAUUUGAACGAUCCCACCUUUCAAAAUCCCUCUUAACAUUAGGGGUGCUUUCCACAGUGAGAGGUGCAUGUUGUUAUUCCCUUAGCGCAAGAUCUAUGUCCAUAUAGCCAAGCACUAUAAAUAAUCGUAUUUUCCAUUCCUUAAAAUUAGUCCCAUUAAGCAUAGGGAUAGAAUUUACACUAGCAGAUAUUGUGGCAGCAGAAGAUGAACUAGCUGAAUAUAGAACAAAAAAAAUAAAAAUAAAAAACAAGCUCACAUCAAUAUUCAUAAGUAAACAAUAAAUUCAAGAUAAUGACUAAUCCCAUCUCAAGAUACCAAACACAACAUUAAUAUCAAGUCUUUGGAUAGUAAUAUUAACAGUAAACGGUACUCUUGUUGCAGCAAUCAAACAUUGACAAUAAAUUAUGUCAAACAAUGAAUUAAUCUUUGGACUAAUUUGUUGUUCACAUAAAUUAUCUUAUAAUUGUUACACAUUUAUCACCACAGAUUUCGUUAAAAUUUUAUCAAAUAUUAACUUACCUUUGGGUCAAUUAAUAAACACAUGAAUCACAAAAACAUAUAAUCAUCUUGAUAUUUUAAAUAAACUAAUCUACACAAAAGAGGUCACUUUGGCGACAUUUUGUUUCAACUAAUCUAUUUAAAAUAUUAGAUAUUCUUAAUUAAAACCUAAAGCCAAAAUUUGAAUUUAUUUGUUUCAAAAUAUUUCUAUUAAUUUCAGCUUUCAAUCAAAUUAAAAGAUAAUAGUAUAUAUAUGUAUAUAUAUUUAUUGCAAAACAACAUACAAUGAUGUUGGCAAAUAUAAUAAUAAUUGAAAAUCAUAAACAACCUUACGUAAGACUUCAAAUUUAAACUAAAAUAAUUUGAAUAAAGGUAAACCUCAUCUUAAGAUAUCGAACACCCCAUUAAUAUUCCAUCUUUGGAGAAAAUAUUAACUUGUAAGUGAUAUCUUAGUGUAAUAAUCAACAUUGACAAUAAGAACAUGUCGAACCCUAAAUCUUCCUUUGAGCCAAUUUAUUGCUCACAUGUAGAACCGAAUAAUUGUCGCAUGUUUAUUACCAUAGUUGCAUAUGUAAUAUUAUUAACCUUCAUUUGGGCCGAUCAUGUAACAGCCCAUUUUUAGGGUUGAUCAGAACAGUAGUUUCGGGGCCACCAAAUCCGAACGAGUAGGUUGGUAAAUAUUAUAUUUAAUAUUUACGAGUUAAUUGUGAUUUUAAAAUUUUUUUUGAUAUUGUGAUUUUUGUUUUAUAAGCGAUUUAUUAAGUUCAAGUGGUAUGACUCUAAGGUCAAGUGGGUUUAGAAAAUGAGGUAUUGGGACCUUGUUUCUAUAAACCGAGUCGUAAAUAUUUUUAUAAAUAUUUACGUAGUGGCAAUAAGAUAGUAUUAAAGUUUCGUUGAAAAAUUUUAUCGUUUCGAUAGUUAAUUAAGCAAAAAGGACUAAAUUGUGUAAAGUGCAAAAGUUGUGUUCUAUAACCUAAAGGUAUUAAAUAGACAUAGAACUUAAAAGUAGAAGUCUUUAUUUGGUAAUUAGCCCAUUAAAGAGAUAGUGGGAUAUGAUGGCUUGACAUUUGGUGUAAUAAAUAAAGUGUAUAAAGGUUAAUAUUGUAAAUUGGUUAAAAAUAAUAAUAAAAUGAAUAUAAUAAAAGAAUCAAGGUGUCAUCUUUUUCAUUCUCUUUUUACUAGCCGAAUAUGAAGGCUUGAGAAGCCAUGGAAGAAGCUUCCAACUUUCAGCUAAUGCAUGGUAGGCAUUUCUAAUCCCGUUUUUAAUUAUUUUUAUAUUUUCGGGAUUGUUGUUGCUUAAUCUAUCUAAUGAGGGGACUAUUUUGCAAAACCAUUAAAUAGUUUGAUAUUUUCCAUUGAUGAGUAUAAUAGGGCUUUGAAGUUUAAUGGAAGAAUAUGAGUCCUUGUUGAUAGUUAAACACUUUUUGUUAAGUGAAUUUUUGUGAAAUUGACAAUUAAGGGCUAAAUUGAUAAAUGUGAAAACUUUGUGGUUAAAAUGUCAAAUAAAUGAAAUGUGUGGGCUGCUAGAGACACUAGUGAUAUUCGUCUAUAGUAGAAUUUUACUCAAUUUCAUGAAUUUGCAUUUUUAUGAUAUAGGGACUAAAUUGUAAAGAAGUUGAAAUAUUAGGGGCAAAACUAUGAUUUUUCCAUAAAGUGAAUUAUGGACUGUUUUGAUACCAUGAAAAUUUGGUUAAGCUUAAUUAUGGUUAAAAAUUUUUAAUUUGCAUGUUUUGAGCUCAGGGACUAAAAUGAAUAAAAGUAAAACUUUAGGGGUAAUUUUGUAAAAAUGAAAAAAAUGACCAAAUUGUAUGAAAUGAGGUGUUUUAAUGUCUAAAUUAAUAUAUUGAAUGAAAUUAUUAAAUUAGAUCAAGAUCGGGUGGAAAAUCGAGAAAAAUAAGAAAAUUACCAAAAUGCCCUUGAACUUUGGUAUCUCUACAAUUUAGCCAGGUAAGCUCGUAUGCAAUAAGCAUUGUUAAAUUUAUGUUUCUAAUGCUUUAAUAUCGUAUAAAUUGUAUAUACAUGAAUAUUUUAAUGUCUGACGACAUAUCGACAAAAUGUGGCACUUAGUGUGCGGGGCAAUCAAAUAUGGUACUCAGUGUACGAAAUAUUGAGAAUGGCACUUAGUGUGCGAGAUAUUGAGAAUGACACUUAGUGUGCAAAAUAUUGAAUGAUUCAAAGGGAAAUUAUAAAUUGUGAUUGAAUGAUUAAAUAGAGCAAAGUGAAUAGGUAUACAUGCUAUAUUAUAUGAAUUGUUUAUGAGACCUUGUGUUAAAUCGGCAAUUGAAUUUGUUCAAUGCAUUAAGUUGGCCAGGUAUGUGAUAUAUACUUAUGCAUGUUAGAUCGAUUGGAAUUGAAUCAUGAAUGUGAAAUGAGAAGCAUAGGUGAAAAUGCCUAUGUCAUAUAUGUGAGUAAGGGCAAAACCAUCGUAAAUUAUCGAUAAGGGUGGACUAUGUGCGGAAUCAUCUUAUAAUUGUUAAUUUGAACGGUUGUGUGCGAAUCAUUGAGCAUGAUGUAUUGUAUUGAGAUUAUGCUUAAGUGAAAUUAUAGAUAUGUGAUGAAAUUGAUUGGUGAUAUACAUGUUUAAAUAAUGUGAAUGCAAAGAAUGUGUGAAAGAGUAAAUUUGUAAUAAAUCUGCUUGGGACAGCAGCAGUAAUGUAAUUUUGGAAAAUCACCAUAAAUUGUUGGAGUUGAGUUAGAAGCUUUAUAAAUUAUGUAAUUAAAGCUUAAUGAGUCUAGUUUGUUAUAAAAGAAACCGUGUAAGCAAAAGAAUUGCUGAUAAUGAGAUAUUUGAAGUGGCGUGGGAUAGAGUCAAAUGACUUCGGGGUCCCCUGUUUUUAGAAAAUCAUUAUAAUUUGUACAAAAAUGGUUAUAAGAUAAAAUUUAUAUGCUUAGACUCCUUAAUGAGUCUAGUUUCAAAUGAAAUCAAAGAGAACAUAUUUUGAAUUCUGUACAAUGAGAAAUUUGAUUCGUAGUGAAGAGUGGUCAGAUUAGUCAAACAAUGAAACAGGGGAAACUUUAAGAAAAAUCUGGUAUCGAUUGGCCAAAUCAAAAAUUCUGAAAAUUUUAUGUAUGGAAUAUAUAUGAGUCUAUUUUCAGCGAAAAUUAACGGAAAUUUAUUUGGAGUUUUUUAGCUCCAGUUAUAAAUAAUUUAGUGACUAUUGCUCAGGAAGACAACUUGUAGUGAAUUUGUGAUUAUGUUGUAAACAUUGAUAAAACUUGUUAAUGAGUUGCUUAUUGUUUUCUUAUGAACUUACUAAGCGUAAAGCUUACUCCCCUUUUCUUUCCCAUAUUCCCUAGGGUUGCCAGAUUAGCUCGGGUUGGAGGCCGUCAAAGAUAUUAUCACAUUGUCAAGUCUACGCUAUCAGCAUAAGUAAAUCUUAGUGUUUCGAGUCUAUGGCAUGUAUAGGGUUGUAAAGUUGAGUAAGUAAAUGAUACAAGACUAAGAUAUUGGUAAAUAUUUAAUAAUGCCUCAUGAAUAUUUUGGGCCUUGUAAGCCCGAUUAAAGGAUAAUAUACGUGUGUAUGAAAAGUUUAAAAUUGAUCAAAAAUUUUUACGGUCUAUUUUUAUAUAAAUGGAUGAGUUUAAAUCUAGUAGCACCUCGAACCCUGUUCCGGCGAGGGAUACGGGCGAAAGGUGUUACAGAUCAAUAUUAACCUAACUUAAGUUACAUGCACACAAGCUUUUAUAUUUUAAAACAAAAUAAUUGAUACAAAAAAAUUCACUUUGGUGACUUAUUAUUUCAAUUAAGUUAUUUUAAAAUAUAUAUAAACAUACCAGUAUUCAAAUUUUAAAUUUCUCCAAUAAUCAAAUGUCAAAACUAUUUUUUUAUUGCUUUAUAGGCUCCGAAAUAACCUAAAAUAAGGUUGUCUUAAUAAUGUAAUAAAAAACCCGAAAACCUUAAUCUUUGACUCUUUUUUUCUUUUUUUGUUCCAAAACCAUAUAUAUCAAAACCAAACAUAAAUAAUAUAGUGGUUCAAAGUCAAAUAAUUAACAAGCACAUGUAUUUAUAAUUUUGACAUAAAUAAAAAUACUAAAGCAAUUCACGCGUAUACAUGUAUCCAUAAUCCAAUAAAAAAACUUACCCUGAAUAUACCAUGUAAAUUCAAAGUUGUAUUUAUGAUUAAUAGAAAUUUGCAUGAAUACUUGAAAAAAUUUCCAAGCACAUAAAUCUAAAAAAUAAAAUCAUAAUAAUUGACAUAUCCUAUGAUUCAUAUAAUAAACCAUAUCAUCAUAAUUUAACCACAUAUUUAGAACCAUAAGAUGUCAAAACUAAUAUUAUAGAACCAAAUUUAAAACUAAAUCCUUUAAACAUAUAUUAUAAUUAACAUGAAUUUAUUUCAAAACACCUACAAAAUUAAAUAUAUAUAUAUAUAUAUAUAUAUAUAUAUAAAGUAACUCCAACAACUAAUCCGUAAAACCAAUUCAAUACUUACACAUAUACCUUUUUGAAAAUUCUUUUUAUGCACGAAUAUUUUGGAAGCGGAUGUAAAUAAUCAAAUAGAAAUUGAAGCAUAAGUAAACCCCAAAAUAUAUACUUAAGAUUUUAAUCAAAACUAUAUAUCCGCGAUAUCUUAAAAAAAAAAAGUAGACAGAUAUUAUAGAAGCAUAUGUCUUGACAGCAUGUAUUUAUCCAAUUAUCAACUGAAUUCACCUGAAUUUAUGUCAUUACAAAUCACAUACAUUGAAUGUAUUCCAAAAAAAUAUAUGUAGUUUAAUCAAAUAAAAACCACCAAAAAAAAAAACAAAACAGAAAAACUCGUGUGCUUAAUUGAUAACUAAAAAUCAACCUAAAAAGCAUUUGAAUUUUCAAUUGUUAUAGUACCACACGAAAAACUAAACUAAUAGUGCAAAUCAAUAUAUGAAUUUUAUUGUAAAUUACCUAAACCAUUAAUACUCAUAUAUCAAUUGAAUUCAAUAGCAUCGUCUUUCUACGUUAAUAAAACUUUAAAAACUUCAAUCAAUAAAACUUCAAAACCCAAAGAUAUAUGAUAGAAAAUUUAGAUUUAUAAAAUUUAAAAAUCGAAUUAAUCCAAAUUAAUAGAGAAUCAAUUCUUUUUUAAUGAUUUAACAUGAUAAGGUUCAGAUGUCACUUGUUAAAACUAUAAAUAACAUCUAAUAUAAAAUUAGAAUUAUAAAUCAAGAUCUGUCAUGUCAAAUCAUUAAGAAUAAAUCAAGAAUAAAACUAGAUACAGAAGCGUACCUAAAUUUAUCGAUUUUUUACAAUCUACGGAUCUUGGUGUUUUGAUCUUUCAAAUUAGCACACAAGUAAUCUAGAGAAGAUGGUUCUCUCUUUUCUAAAGAUGAGAUAUUAGAAAAGUUACAUUGUGUGUAAUUUAGGGACCAUAAACCUAUAUAUAUAUAUCUUUGUCACAUUAACCCUGAUUUCUAAUUAACCUAUCAUCAAUUAGAAAUUAGUUAUUAGAGUAUCUACACAUAUUUGAUAAUUAAAGCCUAAUAAACUAUAACCAAAUUAGAUCACUUUUAAUUUGGGCUAACUUAUUAUGAUAGUAAAUAAUAACAUAUAAUUACUCUUAUUAUAUAUGUGAUGUCCAUAUUUUCUAACAUGAUGUGCUCCUUUUGCUUCUAGUGGUUUUUUUUUUUUUUUUGGCUUUUCACAUGGUUUCUCAAGUUCUCUUUUGUUUGUUGUUUUAAGGUCGUGUAGGUCUUGCUAGAAGAAUAUUGAAUCUGCUUCAUGAAUUAACACACUGAUAUGGGUUUUUGGUGCACAAGUGGCUUGCGCCUUUAUCCUUAGGCUUGAUUCCGUAUUUAAUCUUCUUACUUGUGUUUUCGCAUCAAUCCUUAAUUUUUGGAUUCAGAUUAUAUAGAAAUUAUUGAUUGUAAAUAUUGGUAGUUAGCACAGGUGGUUAGUUAGCUUUAAAGUAGUUAGUUAGUUUGAUUUUCACCAAAAAUAGAUUGUAUAUAAACUAGAGAUUGUAACCUUAUUUGAGUGAAUGAAAAUACUAUGCAUUUCAACAGCGUAUUAGAGGUGAAAAUCCUGUUAAAAUCGCCCCGGUUUUCAUGAAUUUUUUUCCUUUCUUUUUCUUUUUUAAGCUUUUCUUGAUUUCUUGCCAGCCACCGUCAUCGUCCUAUCCUAUCGCUUAGUUACUUUCUACUGUUUUGAUUUUCUUGAACCUUUCUUGGUUUAUUGGUGAUUCUAAAUGAUGAUUUCAGAUGUUUCAAGUAGAGGUGAUAAUUCUUGCAAUAUUAUUGAUUUUAAUCAUUCAGUUUAUCUUCAUCCCUCCAACACACCGGGUGUUCAGUUGGUUUCUCAUUAGUUGACCGACCAUGAGAAUUAUGUCGUUUGGAGCCGUUCCAUUCGUAUUUCAUUAUUAGCCAAGAAUAAGCUUGGCUUUGUUGAUGGAUCUUGUGUGCAAGACUCUAUUCCAUCUACUCUUUAACCAUAAUGGGAUCGUUGCAAUGCGAUUGUUUUAUAAUGGAUUCUGAAUAGUGUUAGCACAGAGUUAUCGGUUGGGAUUGUAUUUGCCACUAAUGCUGCAGAAGUAUGGACAAAUUUGAAGAAGCAUUAUGAUAAAGUUGAUGGGACUCAAAUUUUUUUUCUUCAUCGUGAAAUCACCUCUCUUGUUCAGGGUAUUGCUUCUAUUUCAAAGUUUUUUACUCGGUUGAAGUUACUUUGGGAUGAGUAUGAUGCGUUAAUGUUGGUUUCUUCCUGUAGUUGUGGAAUGUCUCAACAAUAUUUGGGGCAUGUUCAACAGCAGCGAUUGUUUCAAUUUUUAACGGGUCUUAAUGAUUCUUAUGCUUCCCUUUGUAGUCAGAUCUUGAUUAUGCAACCUCUUACCUCGGUGAAUCUUGCUUAUUCCAUGUUAGUUCAAGAAGAGUCUCAGCAGUUGCAUUCUUUCAGAGUGUCUCUUACUGAUCCCACAGCCUUUUAUUUUUCUAAUAUGCAAACUUGAAGGAAAUAGUUUAAUGGAAUUUGUGAUUAUUGUAAGGUGAAAGGGCAUAAAAUGGAAUCAUGUUACAAAUUAACGGUUUUCCUCCGAAUUAUAAGUUCACUAAGCACAAGUCAGUUGGUUCCAUAACUAAUCAUGUUAACUCAACCGAGUUAUCUUCCAGAUCUUCUUCUUUGCCCUCGAGGCCAGUAUUCACUCAGGAACAAUAUCAAUAGUUGUUAAGUUUGUUAAAUAAUGAUUCUAAAUGAGCAUUCACUUCAGUUGAAGGAGCUACUCUCAUGGCACAUAUGGUUCCUAAAUAAUUUUCCUUCCUAAAUCAUCUUCCUAAAUCAUAUUAUAUCUGAUGGACAAUGUCUUGAAUCUCUGGUUUCAUGUGCUUCACACUCAUCUUUUGUCCAAUUACCCACUAGCUAAUCGGUUCCAAUCAUUCAUACGGGCACAUACACUUUAUUUCCUUUUGCUAAACUUAUUAAUGUCUUUCAUGUACUGAAUUUCAAUUUCAAUUUGCUUUUCUUUUUCCAAGUUAACCCGUGACUUUCAUUGUUUUUUUUUUUAAUCCUUAUUUUUGUCUUCUUUAGGACCUCUCUAGUGGACAGGUGAAGGUGAUUGGUAAGGAGUAACAUGGUCUCUACAUCCUUGUGUCAUAAUCCUCUACUCAUCAUACACCUUGUUUAACUACAUCAUCAAUUGUUUCCUUGGCUACUAAAGAUACUUCAUUUCUUUAGCAUGCUCAUUUUGGGCAUAGUUCCUUUUCCAAACUCAAUAAAUUUGAUUCUUUAACUUGUAAGAAUGUGAAUGCUACUUGUAUUUCUCAUUGUCCUAUAUGUCCAUUAGCUAAAUAAACAAGACUUCCUUUUUCUAUUAGUCAUUCAAGAGUUACUGCUCCUUUUGAUUUAGUCCAUUUUGACUUAUGGGGUUUUUAUAAAGUAGCAACACAUUUGGGGUAUUGUUUUUUUCUCACCAUUGUUUAUGAUUUUUCGAGAAUGACAUGGGUUUUUCUUCUCAAAUUAAAGAGUGGUACCAUAAUUAUUUUAAAACAAUUCCUUAUUCUUGUUCAUACUCAAUUUUCUUUACCUAUCAAAAUGUUUCAAAGUGAUAAUGAGCUGAAUGUUUUAAUUCUGAAUGUAACCUUUUAUAUAUUUUAUUGGGAAUUCUUCAUCAAAGUUAUUAUGUUUGCACACCUCAAUAAAAUGGUAUUGUUGAACAAAAACAUCAACAUUUUUUAAAAGUUGCUCGUGCCAUUAAAUUUCAUUCAAAUGUUCCUACUAAAUUUUGGGGAGAGUGUGUUUUGACAGCAUGUUAUCUUGUCAAUUGAAUGCUUACUUCCGUUUUAAAUUGGAAAAUCCCGUUUGAAAUGUUAUACCAUAAAUUUCCUUCUUUGUCUCAUUUAGGGUUUUUGGUUGUCUUGCUUAUGCCAGAAAUCUUACUACUUCAGAUAAGUUUUCUCCUCUAUCUUUAUCCUCUAUUUUUAUGGGUUAUUCACCAGCUCAAAAAGGUUAUCCCUAUAUAGUAUCACUACUAAAGUCUUGUUUGUAAGCAGGGAUUUACUUUUUUUUUUAAUUAAAAUUUGUUCCCUUUUAAAUUUACCAAAUCCCAUUAGACCUUUUUUUCUUCUACACCCACUCAACCUUUUCUUGACUCAUACUUUCUUCCUUUAGUUGACAACUAGACCGCACUCCCACCUAUCACAUAAAUAUCACCUACCCAACCCACUCAACAGCCUUUUGUCCCAUCAACUAGUCACACCAUCCCAUAUUUUUCCCAUAUCCCUUUUAAUACUACUAAACCCAUUUGCUUGUUCAAAUGACCAUGCUUCUACCCUACCUUCUUCUUUACUGCAUGUGUCAGAUAGUUUACCUGUUGACCUUUUGAUGUUUGAGCCUUCACCUAGUUCGUCUUCUUUACCUAUUGUAUCUCCGCAUGGUUCCUCUGAGCUAGUUCGCCAUACUACACGACCCUCUAAGCCACCCGCAUGGUUACGAGAUUAUGUUUGCUGCUCUUACUUGUCUUCUUCCUCUCCACUUGAGAGAGGUCAAUAUCCUCUUUCAUUUUCUUUCACGUCUAAUCAUUUACCUUGUCACACUCAGUUUUUUGUUGCUUUUACUUCUCAUAUUCCUAAACCUAAAAAUUAUAUUGAUACUCGUAAAGAUGAGAGAUGGGUUGCAGCUAUGCAACAAGAGAUUCAGGCAUUAGAAUGAAAUUUCACUUGGGAUGUAGGUCCUUUGCCCUUUGGUAAAACACCCAUUGGUUGCAAAUGGGUCUUGAAGGUGAAAUAUAAUUCUGAUGGCAUGGUUGAACAUUUCAAAGCUCGUCUUAUUGGACAAGGGUUUACUCAAUAAGAGGGUGUUGACUAUCAUGAAACUUUUUCUCCGGUUGCUAAACAAGUUAUGGUACGAUCUGUUAUUGCUCUUGCUGCUCAACAUGGCUGACCACAAUUUCAGAUGGAUGUUUAUAAUGUUUUUUUACAAGGUGAUUUGUCUGAAGAAGUUUACAUGAUGCUUUCGAUUGGUUUGCUCACUUAGGGGGAGACUUGGGUUUGUCGACUGGGAAAAUCUCUUUAUGGGUUGAAACAAGCCUCAAGACAAUGUAAUAUGAAGCUCACGGAAGCUAUUCUACUCAAUGGAUAUUCAUAGAGUAAGUAUUAUCUGUUCACUAAAAGAGUUAGGGAUCAAGUUGUCAUGAUUCCUAUAUAUAUGGAUGAUCUGUUAAUAAUUGGAAACAAUAACAAGCUUAUUUCUGAGUUGAAACAAGUGCUACAUUAAAGUUUCAAAAUGAAGGAUUUAGGGGAUCUCAAGUAUUUUCUGGUAUUAAAGUUUUUUGAUCCAUGGUAGGGAUUGUUCUGAGUCAACAAAAGUAUGCUCUCGAGUUAAUUUCAAACAUGAGGCUCACCGGUGGAAAAGUGGCUGCUACUCCUUUAAAGAAAAAAUUGAAAUUAACCUCUAUAGAAUACAAUGAAGUGGUUCAAGCCAACCAAGAUGAUAAAGUUUUAUUAGACACACAAUUGUACUAAUGACUCAUUGAGAGAUUUUUAUAUUUGAGUCAUAUGAGGCCUAAUAUAGCUUUUGCAGUGCAACAUCUAAGUGAGUUCAUGAAACGACCAAAAAAAUCACAUUACAAGGCGACACUUAGAAUUGUACGUUAUUUGAAAAAAGAUCUAGGAUGGGGCUUUUUUUUUUUAGCGAAAAGGGUCUUUUAGAUUGAUAGCAUAUUGUGACUCCGAUUGGGCAUAUUGUCUUAUGUUGAGAAAGUUAGUAACGAGAUAUUGUGUAAAAAUAGGAAACUCAUUAAUCUCAUGGAAGUUAAGAAAACAAAAUAUGAUCUCCAGAUCAUCAGUUGAGGCAGAGUUUAGAAGUAUGGCAUCAACAGCUGCGAAUAUUGUUUGGUUAAGUGGUUUGUUUGAUGAAAUUUUCUUUAAGAACAAAGAACUAGCCAUAUUAUUUUGUGAUAAUAAAGUUGUGAUACAAAUAGCAAACAAUCUCAUGUUUCAUGAAGCAUGUUUCAUGAAAGAACAAAGCACAUAUAUAUUGAUUGCCAUUUUGUAAGAGAAAAAAUCCAACAGGGAUCACUUCAAAUAGCGCAUAUCUCGACAAAAGAGUAGCUUGCGAAUGUGUUAACAAAAGGACUUGCUAUUCAACCAUAUGAGAAUUUGAUAAACAAGUUGGGAAUGAGAGACUUAUUUCAUCCACCAACUUGAGGGGGAGUAUAUAAAUUAUUGAUUGUAAAUAUAGGUAGUCAGCACAGGUGGUUAGUUAGCUUUAAAAUAGUUAAUUAGUAUGAAUGAAUGAAAUUAAAAUGUUGAAUAUGUAUUGGUUUGAGUGAAUGUUAUUUAAGUUUAAUUUGUGGUGCUAAUGAGGGCAUAUUGGUUAGACACAUAUGUUGAUUGUGAAUUGGUAUAAUUUGACAUGAUUUACAAUACGGUCUGACACAUGGCUGUGUGCCUCACAUGGGCAUAAGACAUGGUCGUGUGCUCUAUUAAAUUUUAAUGAUUUUAGGUCCACACGAGAUUAGUUAGGUAGAUGGUCUGGGGACACGAAUGUGUGUCUCCUCCUACAUGAUUUUUUCCUUUGCACAUGGUUUGGCCACACGACCAUAUCUCUGCACCACACGAGCUGUGUCCUGUUACACGGCCUAGCUGUAACAGCCCGUUUUUGGGUCAGAUCGGAACAGUAGUUUUGGGAACACAAAUCUGAAGUAAAAAAUAUUUAUUUUAUUAUUUUAAUAAGGUUUACAAUAUGAUAUAAUGUUCGUGUGAAAAUUUUGUGAAGAAAUUUUACUAUUUGAGUGGUUAAUUCGGUAAAAAGGAUUAAAUCGCGUAAAGCGUAAAAGUUAAAUUAUAUAAGUUAAAAGUAUUAAAUGGCUAUGGAAUUAAACAGAGAAGGUCCUUAUGUGGUAAAUAGCCCAUUUAUGAGAUAGUGAAGGUUAGUGGAGUGGCAUUUGGUGUAUUUAGUAAUAUUUUUAAAGGGUAAAAAGGUAAAUAGGUAAUUAAAGUUAAUAAUAAAUAAAAUAAAAGCCAAAACCAUGUUAUAUUUCUUCAUCUUCCACCGAAUACAGAGAAAAGAAACAGCCAUGGUUGUGUUUUAGGGUUCGGCAUCUUCAUGGCUCAAUUUGUAAGUGUUUUGAGCUCGAUUUUUGAUGAUUUUUAUGUUUUUGUGAUUGUUGCUUCAUGUUCUAGUUAGCCUGUACCCUAAUUUCUGAAUUUUUUGAUGAAUUUGUGAGUUUCCAUUGAUGAUAGCUUGAUGUUUUUGAGUGUUGAUGAUGGAAAAUAAAUCAUUGUUUUUAGAUUAACAAGUUUUAUAAAGUGAUUUUGAGUAAAAAUGUCAAUUUUGGACCAAAUUAUAUAAGGUGGAAAUUUAGUGGUUAAAAUGUAAAAUAAAUUGAAAAUAUGGGCUGAUAGUAAUAUAUGAAAAAUUCGGCUAGCUUGGGUUUGUGUUUAAUUUCAUGAAAUUGUGAUUUCAAGUGAUAAGGACUAAAUUGCAAAAAUAUGAAAUAAUAGGGGAAAAAAUGUAAAUUUUCCAAAAUGUGUAAAUUGUGUUAAAUUGAAUGAAAUGUUGAUUAAAUAAGUAAAUUUUGAUAUUAUAUAGAUUGAGAUAAUCGAGAAUUGGAUCUAGAACGGGGGAAAAAUAAAGUACCGGACUAAUUGAUCCGUUCCGUCAUUUUAACGAUCGAGGUAAGUUUGUAUGUAAUAAGCAUUGUUAAAUUUAUGCUUUUAAUGAUUUGAUAUUAUAUAAAUUGUAUAUACGUGACUAUUUUUAUGUUUAACGACAUAUCGGCUAAAAAAAUGGCACUUACUGUACGGUUCGAAAUAGCUUCGGCUAAAUAUGGCACUUGGUGUACGAUUGGAGAUAGCUUCGGCUAGAUAUGUAUAUGGCACUUAGUGUGCAAAAUAUUAAUAAUGACAAUUGGUGUGCGAGAUAUUAAGUAUGGCACUUAGUGUACAAGAUAUCGAAGAUGCAACGACAUUACGUGUAUGUAUGAAAUGGUAAGGAUCGGUACAGAUAUGUACAUGAGUUAUGAUGCAUCUUUGUAACGAAGUAAAUAAGUAAGUCAUGUUUAUGAGAAUGAUUUUGUGAUGACCUUGUGAUUAUGGGCUGAUGCUUAUGUUGUAUAAAUAUUUAUUUAUACCAUGAUGGUGGAAAUGAUUGGUGAAGGUGUGAUGAGCUUAGUUAUCAUCAUUUUUGUACUAAAACUUUUUUGGACAGUAGCUGUAGUCCAACUUUUUAAAUUCACCAAAAAUUGUGAAAAUCGAGUUAUAGGAUGAAUAAAAUAUGAAACUAGAGCUUAUUGAAUCUAUUUUUACAUUGAAGAAACGGUGUAUGCAAAAGAAUUUUAGAUUAUGAGAUAUUUGAAUUUUCGUGAGACAGGGUUAGAAUGAUCUCGGAAUCCCCUAUUUUGAAUUUGAAAAAUAAUUAAAAAUUUUAAAAAAAUAAUUAGGGGUUAUAUUUAUAUUAUUAGAAUCUUUGAUGAGUCUAUUUUCUAAAGAGACAAAUGGGAACAUCAUUCGAAUUCUGUAUGAGGAUAUAAUUAAUUUUUAGUGAAGAGGGUUCGGAACUUUUGGACAGUGAAAAAGGGGUAAAUUUGAAGAAUAAACUGUACUUAUUAGCUAAACCAAAAAUUUUGUAAAUUUUAUGGUAAGAAGAUAUGUGAGUAUAGUUUCAAGUUAAAUUAAUGGAUCUUAAUUUGGAGCUUCAUACAUCCAGAAAUAAAUAAUUUAAUGACUAUGACUCGAGUAGAUAGCUUGACUAGAAUUUGAACAAAUAGUGGAAUAAUAUGCAAUUAUAAUUGUGAUACCUUGAGAACAUGUUGUAAGAAUUUGGAAAAAGCAUAUUAAUAAAUUACUUAUUAUUUUCAUAUGAACUUACUAAGUUUUAUAGCUUACCCCCUCCCUUUUCAUCUCUUAUAGGUUUAUGUAGCUAGCUCGGGUUGGAGAUUGUCGGAGAUUCAAUCACACUAUCAAGCUAUCAUUUGGGGUAUAAGUAUUCAAAUACUUAAGUCUAUGGCAUGUCUAUGCUGAUCAUAGGAUUAUUCAUGUGUAUUUUCCAAUGUUUUAUGGUGUGAUCAUGUUGUUUGAUAUGGAUGACUGUGCGCAUACGACUUAAGUACUCGAUGAUUGAUUUUGGCAUAAUUGGCAUAUGGAUAGAUUAUAGCAUAAGUGUGAAAUGUGAAAAUGUAUUAAUGAUAAUCUCGGUAUGAAAGUUGUUAUGAUUAGUCUUGAUAAAGUAUGAUGCCUUGUGUAUGCGUAAGUUGUUAUGAGAAUGUCAUGCAUAAGCUAUAUUUACGAUUAUUAAGUGUUCAUUUAUGCCAUGUUGGAUGCCAUUGAGAUAUGUGAGUGUGCAUGUGUUGUGAUGGUGGCAAAAUGGCUUGGAACAUAGCCUAGCAUUUGUCUACACGGGCGUGUGACCCUGCUUCAUGAUGAAAUUUUUUAAGUUUUCUCAAAAGUUUUCAAAGUUUCUGGUUUAGUCCCAAAUCAUCUUCGAUGCGUGUUUAGGGCCUCUUAAGCCCGUUUAAGGGACGUUAUACAUAUGUAUGAAUGUUUUUGAUUUGAAUGAAAUUUUAUGGCCCGAUUUUAUGUGAUUGUGUAUGUUUAAGUCCGGUAAUGCCUCGUGUCCUGUCCCAGUCUCGGACAUGGGUAAGGGGUGUUAUACUGGCCACAUAGCCGUGUGACCCCUGUUUUCACUUUUUACCUGAAUCUUUUGUAAAGUUUCAAAGUAGUGCUGAUUUGAUACCAAGUUGAUUUAAGGGUCUUGCAUGCUUGAUUAAUGCUUAGUUUUGAUUGAAAAUCACAUCAUACUUGUAUCAAACUUCAAUUUAAUAGAUUUUUUGAUUAUGUAUGUUGAAUUUAAGGCUCGAUUUUAGUUGAUUAUCAUUAAGUUAUUGUAAUUAUGUUAUAAUAUAAAUUAUUUUAUCAUUUAUGUCAUUAUAUCAGUUAAGGUUGAUGUUUGUAUGUUUGUUUAUAAUCCCUGAUGUAUUCAUAAUCUCUAUUGUGCAUGUAAUUAAAGCGAUUAAUGAUUUAUGAUUUGAUUAAAUGUUAUAAAAUGUGUUAUAAUGUUCUGGUAAUUGUUGUAGCAUCCUGUACCUUGGGUUAAGCAACUGGUUCGGGUAUGGGCUAUUACAACCAGUUAGUGGAAUCAUGCCAAAAGAAAACAAAAGUAGAGAUUCGAUUGGAAGUGGUCACACAUGAUGUCUUAAAUUCCAAUCCAAGGGAACAAUGUAUUAUUAACAACCAUCCGUAAUUAAAUCCUGAAAGUCAACAAGAGUUUGGAUCUAGAGAUGGGAUCAAUAAGACUGAAUAUCUCUCCGAUCCAUUUGACAUAGAUGUAGAAAUAGAAUUAGAAGAAGAAGCGCCAAAAUCGAUUUUGAAUGGAAUUGUAGUCGAGCUGAUACACUUUCUGGCAAUAACCAAUAAGGUGUCAACUGAAGAAAUCGAUGAGUUUAUCCCAUUCUCGUUCAAUGAGGAAGAUAAAGCUCGAGUUGACUGAACCUCGCGCCAUAUGGAGGUGAAAUGGAUCGAGGCAAUAAUACAUUGAAAAAUAAUUUAGGGUUAGCUUAGAUUCGACACCAAGUGAUUUGUGAUGCAAUUGCCGCGCGGGUCAAUGACAAGGCGAUAUCAAUGGAAUCGACUAAGGAUACUGGUUUAUAUAUCUCAACGGACAAACAAACGACAGAUUAAAGUCUCGAGAACCAACUGGAAGGUCUUCUUUGAGGGAGAUACAAAUUGUCCAUAUCUCAAAAAAAAGACUUCAAUUUUAAAUUUGUGUUAUUUAAAUUUUGUUAUUUUUAUUUUUAUUAUUACGUUUAAGUGUAGUUAUUUAUUAAUAUUUUAUUUUAUUUUAAGAAGGCCAAGUUUGCGAAGGGAAGCUGAUCGGAGACUUAACAUUUCAGACAAAAGUAGGUUGCAAUAGGUGACAUGUUGGGACAAACAUGUUCCCCCAUGUUGUGACGAGUAGCAACAGGAGAGGCUUAGGGUUUUAAACUAAUAUCGGGAUGAGUAGAAGCAACCUGUUGAGACGAGCAGAAGUGAAACCACCAAGAAAAUGAGCUACAUGCAUCGCCGAGAUGAGAUAGGUCUUAUCGUCAAGAAGAGAAAUGAUUAAAUGCUUAGGGACUUGUAACGACAGGAAAAGUUGGGACGAGCCAAGCCUCCACACUUUGACAAUGCGACAAAUAAAAUGAUACAUCUCGACAUUGCCUUUAUCAAAAAACUUCCCUUUGCCAAACAAUCACCCGCCGUUUGUAUCAACCUUCAAGCAUCGUACAUUACUAGGGGCACCCGUGGAAACAUCUCUACUGAUGAACCAUUUCAAUAGUACGGGUGCUGCCGUGCCACGAGGCACGACCAUAAAAUAAUAAAAAAUAAAAAGUUAUGUAGUUGGACCAUCAGCUCUAUCCGUUCGAGUUUCACUUCUCUAAAAAAGAUAAGACGCUAAAACUGAAAGUGUUCGCAAUGCAUACCGAAAGGAUACCAAUGAAGCCGACCAUUAAUGACUAGUUCGAACACCAGGAGUGGUCUGAUCCUUUAUUUGAUCAGAUAGACUGCUCUUAGAAACAUAAAACAAAAGAAAACUCUCAUAGUUUGGAGCCCAGCUUCAACUACUUCAGGAAUUAUUGAUUCAAAACUUUCUAUCGCUACACCUCUUUUCAACUAUCUUAAAUAGCACACUAGCCGUAAGAGAAAGAGGUGUCGAAUACGGCCACGCAUCCGCUGAGCUGGCCGAAAGAAGCAAGCAAAGCAAAGAGUCUUACUCUAAAGAAAAAGCCUAUUCCUAUUCUAGAAAUCCUGCAAACUAUUAAUCUAAGUACUUAGCACUCACUGCUACAAUUGGAGGAAAUUAAUUGGCGCUGCAUCUAUCCCAAUGAAUUUUUUUCUUUUCCUUAGUCCUCUUCUUUAGCACUGGCUUACUCACAGGAAGCUGGCCUAGCAAAUGACUCUUAGUUAGACUGGUACUAGUUAGGAUAUAACAUAAGGGGAAUUCCAUUCUAGGAGUUCUCCAAAGCCCUAUCCCAUAUAAAAAAAAGAGAAAAGCUAUAUUAACGUUCUAGCCCAAGAAUAGAUCUUAUGAAAAAAAAGAACGAUCGUCAGCGGAGAUCGCAAUAUAAAGCUUUUUAGACAUAAUCCCCGGCAUCAAAAAAUUCCAGGGAUUUUAUCUAUUUAAAGUAUGAGAUAGCCAGGUAUUCCCACAGAGAAGUCUUGCUCUGGCUUGCCUAAAGUGUUGAACAUAUAGAAUUAAGGUUGUCUUACAUACAUACUGGUGGAAUUGAAUUUGAUUCUGCUUUUUAAAAUAGUAAGAGGGGAAUUGAGUAAAAAAUCCUUGUCCGUAGUUCCAGCGGAUUAUCUUUUGUCUUGCAAACCCCAUAUUCUGUACUUCCCUAUUCUUGAAAAGACCGGUAUGCACCUUGACUUUUGGCUUUUCGUUCUUUCUGCUAUAGCUGUUUAGCUAUAUGCGUCUCCUUUUCUUAGUCCCUAUCAGGAAAGAAAGCUCUACAGUGAAAGGCUUCCUUGAUUGGUACUACUGGCUUGUCCAUCUACUGGGUGGGACUACUCCGACAUAUUCGGUGCUACACCCCUAUUAUCCCGUCCUCGAGACUGAACUAAGGCACAUCCCUUCUUUGCUUAGGGUUUGGUUUGGGUUCAGCUUCUGCCGUUGCUUCAGCUGGUCAAAAUACCAUGCCAGGGCUUUCUUUCAUGCGGUUUUUGAUAUUGCAAUGGCAAGCAAAUAGAAGGUUUCCCUCAUUCGGGUAUAGGCUUUCUCGAUUGAUUGGAAAUAUUUUAUUUUAUACUGCCAGAGAAAAAAAAAAGCUAUCUAACCCUGAUAUCCUUGGUACUGUCCCUGCUGAGAAAGAUCCGGAUUUCCCAGAGAGCGCUUUUGCGGUGCAGUGUAACCAACAACUCAAGGCUAUCAAGGGAAGGAGUUGCAGUACCGGAGUUCUAUCUCGGAUCUACAGAAUGAUUAGUUUUUUUCUCGAAAACUGCUCUUAGCGCAGGUUCCACGUGGGAUUGGAUAUCGAAGGUUCCUUCCGAGCAUUUUGGAUAUGGAACCUGUAUUGCCAGAAAGGUUCUCCCUGUCCCGGGCAACCUCUCUUCUUAUAGGAUUCAUAUAGUGGAGUUUACCUUUAAGGUUGGAUUUCAUAGAUCUAAUCGCCAGAAAGAAGCACUGGCUUAUACUUUUAUGGGGAUGGGGCUUACAAGGCAAUCAGAUAGUAGAUUCCCUUUUACUGUCUUCAAUGUCUUGAAGAACAUCUUCCCCAGUCCGAGACAGGUCAACAAUUGUGGAAGGCCCAGGAUGGUCGCUAUAACAUCUUUUUUGGCAUGGUAACAAGGUCCAACAAUCUAACAUGGAAGAUGAUUACUGUGGCUUAAACGACGUGAUAUAGGCUUUAAAGAGGGUUUCAUGAAGGAUUGUGGGAUAGCCUUCCACUCGGACUUAAGAUCCUUUCCCUGGCUGGCAGGCUGUCUUAAAUAAAAGGAAUGCACAUAAAGACAAGACAGCUUAAGCUUCACUGAAAGGCACAUAAAGACAGUCUCAUGCUUGCUUUAACUGCUGAAAGGUAAUACUCUUGGGACUGAUGUCUCAAUCUUUAUUUGACAGGCAUGCAUGAAAGAGAAGACAUACAAUCAAAGACUCUUUCCCUACCCUAAGGCAUUCUUUGAACAGAUGUACAGUACAUAUGUCUCUAAAGAAACUUUCUCUUGGGGCUGCCCAUGACAAGUUUAUAGAAUAGAUACUCUCUGUCUCAAGGAAUUCCCCAUCAACAAAGGUUGGGGAUUUCAUGGAAUCUGUAAGGCAAGCUUUCACUCUUUCCAGGGCAAGCUCUCUUCAAAAACUUUCAUUUCCCGAAAUCUGACCUGGCUGAAGCAGCGGCUAUCGGAGUCAGGCUUAAUAGAGCCUCCUAUCUAGUCAGAUACUGAACUAAAAAAAGAGAACCUUCUUUGUUUUAGGAAUUCCCAUUACUUUAAGAAUUAGUUAAGAGAACAUUAUCGUGCCCACGGUAAAAGUUGAAGGUGGCGGGGACGAGAUUUGUUUUCUGGACCGGGUAUACGCGAGUGGUACCUAGGAGAGAGGUUCACCGGUUAUACCACUGUAGGGUCCAAUCAUUUUAUUAAAAUAAAAUAAAUAAGAAUAUGAAGCUGACAAGACAAUGAUUUCUUUCAUAACCUCUACUUCUUUUUUUGUAUCAAUCGGACCGGUCUUCAAAGAAAGAUCAGAUCUUCCAAUCGCUUAUGUCAGAGCAGUGUCCUCUUCCUUCUUCCUAUGGUCAAGCGCUUGUACUCCCGGUAUGUCUUGUACUUGGGCUUUUCUUUUGAGUGUAGGAAGAAGUAAUCUCGUGCUAGGCCUCUGAAUACCAACUAAUUCCUCACUGUCUAUGUUCCUUCUCCCUUUAGAGCGACUACCCCGCUUCUUCCCCUUAUCCUUAUCCUCUAGAAUCCUCGUUGGUCCUUUUGCACUGAAAAGCUUUCUUUUUGAUUUUGUACUCAGUCAGGUACUUUAACACCAAGCCAAUCUCGACAAAGACAAGUAUUAAACAAGUAAGGAUGUGAUACCAAUCUCAAGAUCUUUGUAAUGAAUUUAGAAGAGUGUGAUUCUCCCCCUGGCAUUCUAGUAGAGUCGGCUUGAUACAAACCCAAUCUCGAUUCAAGUCAAAGCAAUGAGCCAUGUGAGACCUACGGAGCUAUGUUUACGAAGCCUUAAGCAGAGAGGUGGAACUAAGCCGGUACUUUACUUAAAGAAAGGGAUGAGAAAGGCGUUUAGACACGAAAAUACCAAGGGCAAGGUAGGAUCAAUCUAAUUGAGCUCAUAUGACAGGGUGGAAGAUCUCUUUAGAAAGUCCGGCCAGGGGGGAUCAAUUAACCAGUUAAGGCACAAAGUUGGCUCAUAGGAUACGACUCAACCAUUCUACGGGCCGAUCUAAUUCAUUUUGAAGAGAAAGAUUCUUUUCUUUUCUAAUAGAUAAGAAGUAUAAGCUCAAAGCGGAAAGGGAAGCCAGUAGCUAGACUAAGAGGUGCAAGUGGAAUACAAGUCUUGGAGCUAGAGGGUGGACGAACGAAGUCAAGCAAGUCAGUCAGUUCAGUGACCAAGCCUUCUCCUCAACAGUUUCAAUUAAUCGAUCCGGAUAAAGGGAAUUUGAACUUAGAUUGGCUUUGUGUGAAAAAAGUCCAAUAGAUGAGAGCGUAACAACUCAAUUGAUCUCCCGUUUCUCUCUCCUUAACUGAACUAUCGUCCAACCUCUCCUGAUAAGGAGAGUCUCUUCGUGAGGCUACGCCCCAAGGGUUAGGUUCAAGGGUUGGUUUGAAGCUUCUUGGAUUUGUAGUCUGAAUUCCCUCUAUACCUCUCGUUAUCAACUCGACUUCCUGCGGCACCCAUUGACUAUAUGCUGACCCUAUACGCCAUGCCAUCCUAUACCUUUCGAUCUGAAAACCUCUCUCCGCCACGCCCCUUCGGCCUUCGCUGCCUCUCUAUAUUAGCGAGAGUCUCGUUGUGAUGCUUGACACCUAGAGCUACCGAGAGCCCCUGUCUUUAAUAACCAACCAAGCCAAGGUAGGGAGUAGCCCAGCUAUUCGAUUCGAGCUAUAAAUAAAGGCCCAAUUAGACUAAGGAUCAGAUAGGCAACUAAGUUUCAGUUUAAAUAAAAAAGGGAUAAAAUCUCAUUAGAACGAGGUUUACGGGUGGAAGAGAGCGGUUUAGUGGCUUUGGGGAGUCCAUUGCAGCAAGAGUAUAGAGAUUGAUUGGGCCCAAGAUCCCUUUUUGCAAACCAGGAAUAUAGUUAACAAAGAGGUAUCUAAGUUGCUCCUUUCUUCAAGCUUGGCGAGGGGGGAAGGAGGGAGGCAAGGGAACAAGUCUACUGUAUCUACUGUUCCAGUCACUCGCUUGCUUACUGUACUUAAUUACUAAAUUACUAAAUGCUAUAUCAAAUAUGGUGUGCUAAUGGUGAUGUGGUUACUAACCCACCAACAUAUAUCAUUCCGGAAUGGACGACUGGAGCACAAACUCCUAUUUAUAUACUUUCUUCCUUGCCAGGCCAACUGGAAGCGAAAGAAUCUAUCUUUACGGAAUGAAAAAGUGCUUCACUACGCAUAUGCAUAUGCUACAGCUGAUAUGUGACAGUCAGUAUAAUUGAACAAUAUUUUAUCCACUUGAAGCUGAUACGCUGCUAGAGUUGACUUGCAAGGUUUUCGCAGAUGAGUUGUAGCUUCCUUUGUCCUUCUCUUCCGCUUCGGGUUAGCACACUCUCUCUUUUCGUCGGUGAACAAGUCUCAUUCGUUUGGCCGGCCCUAAAUCAGCUUUGAAAUCCUUUUUUCCAUGGUUAUAGAAUGAUUGUGACUUACGAGUAACAGGCUCUGAAAGAGGUUGAUCAACUACAGAGGAUCCAUUAGCAUUCCCUCACCCGAAAUUGGCACAUAAACACUCGAAACUGCCUCUCUUCUUGUCCCACCAGUGUUUAAAAACAAACCUCCGCUAUUAUUAUACUUUCUACCACGAAAACGUCGAUGGGAU
rnacentral:lncRNA from 1 species